AUUGGUCAUUGAAUAACUCUCAUUUCAUUUGAUGAAACUGCCUAUGUUGUAUGUAGGUCAACCUCAAGUGUUGCUAGUGUGAGGGCUUGUAUAUUUACUAUUUUGGUGACACUAAUUAUCAGCUUAUAUUUAAUAGGUGAAGCACAAUUCAUUGGAGCUUAUUGAAGAGGGUAGCUAGAGAACUAACUUGGGAUACUUCUCGGCUUAGUCUUAUUUAUUUUCUCAUUCAUCAAUGUAUUGGAUCACAAAUAUUGCUCAUGAACUAGUGAUUGAUCUCUUUAUUUCAAUUUUCUUAUUCAAGACUUUGUAAGGAAUAUCAGACAAUUACGGACAUCAACUACUAGGAUUUAGGUAGCCAGGCAUUGAGCAAAUUUGUUAAGAGAUUGAAUAUUUUGAUUUCUCAUUGGGAAAGGGUGUGAGGAGCUUGUAAGUAAGUUCAGAUUUCAUUACCUCUACUCACACCAUUGAAAUUUAGAACUUAAUCCAAGGCUUUGGUGUAUCCCAAAAUUCACAAGAAUUAAAGAAGCAAAUUUGUGUAGCCCCAGAUCCAACA